ACCGGACUCACUCUCACGAAUCUACUCGCCCUCUAGUCCCCAGGAUACAGAUCCCAUCAUUCCCUCCACCUGUGUGGUGGGGGCAGCAUCGUGGGAGAUCGAGUCAGUGGUUAAGGAGGCCCAAGAGGUUGUCCCGGAUCCUGGCGGAGGUCCUCCUGCUCGUUUGUUCGUCCCACCUGCAGUCCGGUCACAGGUCCUUCAGUGGGGGCAUUCGUCUAAAUUGACGUGUCAUCCGGGAGCCCACCGUACCCUUAUCUUUCUCCGCCAUCGCUUCUGGUGGCCGGGGAUGGCGAAGGAUGUUUGUGAGUUCGUGGCUGCCUGCUCUGUCUGUGCCAGGAGCAAAGCUUCCCAUCGUCCUCCUGCUGGUCUGCUGCGUCCUUUACCUAUUCCCAGUCGCCCUUGGUCACAUAUUGCCGUGGAUUUCGUCACCGGGUUACCCCUAUCCGAAGCUCCACGGGAUUCCGUUAGAUAUAGUCUCAGAUCGUGG
ensembl:lncRNA